rnacentral:rRNA from 1 species
GCAGCCGCGGUAAUACGUAGGUGGCAAGCGUUAUCCGGAUUUACUGGGUGUAAAGGGUGUGUAGGCGGGAAGGCAAGUCAGAUGUGAAAACUAUGGGCUCAACUCAUAGCCUGCAUUUGAAACUGUUUUUCUUGAGAGUCGGAGAGGUAAGUGGAAUUCCCGGUGUAGAGGUGAAAUUCGUAGAUAUCGGGAGGAACAUCUGUGGCGAAGGCGACUUACUGGACGAUUACUGACGCUGAGACACGAAAGCGUGGGGAGCAAACAGGAUUAGAUACCCC